UUUUGGAAUUAUUCUAAUCCC
rnacentral:piRNA from 1 species